AGAGUUUGAUCCUGGCUCAGGACGAACGCUGGCGGCGUGCUUAACACAUGCAAGUCGAACGAUGAACGCUGGAGCUUGCUCCGGCUGGAUUAGUGGCGAACGGGUGAGUAACACGUGAGCAAUCUGCCCUUGACUCUGGGAUAACUCCGAGAAAUCGGUGCUAAUACCGGAUAUGACCCUUGGCGGCAUCGCUGGGGGUGGAAAGUUUUUCGGUCAAGGAUGAGCUCGCGGCCUAUCAGCUUGUUGGUGAGGUAAUGGCUCACCAAGGCGACGACGGGUAGCCGGCCUGAGAGGGUGACCGGCCACACUGGGACUGAGACACGGCCCAGACUCCUACGGGAGGCAGCAGUGGGGAAUAUUGCACAAUGGGCGCAAGCCUGAUGCAGCAACGCCGCGUGGGGGAUGACGGCCUUCGGGUUGUAAACCUCUUUUAGCAGGGAAGAAGCGAAAGUGACGGUACCUGCAGAAAAAGCACCGGCUAACUACGUGCCAGCAGCCGCGGUAAUACGUAGGGUGCAAGCGUUGUCCGGAAUUAUUGGGCGUAAAGAGCUCGUAGGCGGUUGGUCGCGUCUGCUGUGAAAACCCGAGGCUCAACCUCGGGCCUGCAGUGGGUACGGGCCGGCUAGAGUGCGGUAGGGGAGAUCGGAAUUCCUGGUGUAGCGGUGGAAUGCGCAGAUAUCAGGAGGAACACCAAUGGCGAAGGCAGAUCUCUGGGCCGUAACUGACGCUGAGGAGCGAAAGCGUGGGGAGCGAACAGGAUUAGAUACCCUGGUAGUCCACGCCGUAAACGGUGGGAACUAGUUGUAGGGGCCAUUCCACGGCUUCUGUGACGAAGCUAACGCAUUAAGUUCCCCGCCUGGGGAGUACGGCCGCAAGGCUAAAACUCAAAGGAAUUGACGG
rnacentral:rRNA from 1 species